GCCGGUGUAGCUCAGUCGGAAGAGCAACGCACUCGUAAUGCGUAGGUCGGUGGUUCGAGUCCACUCACCGGCACCA
rnacentral:tRNA from 4 species